GAUCCCUUUAGCUCCUUGGCUACUUUCUCUAGCUCCUCCAUUGGAAGCCCUGUGAUCCAUCCAUUAGCUGACUGUGAGCAUCCACUUCUGUGUUUGCUAGGCCCCGGCAUAGUCUCACAAGAGACAGCUACAUCUGGGUCCUUUCAAUAAAAUCUUGCUAGUGUAUGCAAUGGUGUCAGCGUUUGGAUGCUGAUUAUGGGGUGGAUCCCCGGAUAUGGCAGUCUCUACAUGGUCCAUCCUUUCAUUUCAGCUCCAAACUUUGUCUCUGUAACUCCUUCCAUGGGUGUUUUGCUCUUUUAUUAUUAUUAUUUAUUUUAUUUUAUUUUAUUUUAUUUUAUUUUAUUUUAUUUUAUUUUAUUUUAUAUAUAUGAGUGCACUGUAGCUGUCUUCACACAAACCAGAAGAGGGAGUUGGAUCCCAUUACAAAUGGUUGUGAGCCACCAGGUGGUUGCUGGGAAUUGAACUCCGGACCUCUGGAAGAACAGCUGGUGAUCUUAACCACUGAGCCAUCUCCCCAGCCCAGUUCACAUACUCUUUUCUUAGCAGCUUAACUAUGCUCCACUCAGACUGGAAUGUGCCAGUCCCAGAUGACUAUUAGUGUGUCACCUAGUGAGGCCAUCAUACAUAAGUUUAGUUUCAGUAACCAUUGCUCCAGAUGGUGUCAACUCUUGCAUGAUGCUUGGCCGAGAGGCACCGUUCUUUGCCGUGUUAGCUUGUUCUUAGCAUGUUAUAAAUAUGUGGUAGGGUAGCAACAGAUGAGAAAAAGGGGAAGUUUUAGGAAUGAAAUUUUUACUUGGUUAAAAUUCACUAGACUCAUGGAAUGUUUGUAUAGAUCCAAGCAAAAAAAUAGGCAAUAUAUAUUGUUGUAAAUACAAUCCUGAUCUGGAGGUUGGCCACCCCAAGUCACCGCUCAGAAUACAAAGCACUGACAAGGAUGAGACACGGUGAUCUUAUGUGGAUUCUGCCUUAAAAGACUCCCAUGAACAAGCACUAGCCUGGUAGAAUCCUAGCCAAGCAUUUGCCUCCCAGAGCAGUUGCAUAGAGACAGCAAAAGCACAAGAGGCUACAACUGCAUGACAAUUUACCUUAACACACGAGCCUUUCAACAACGACAUUUAGUUGUGCUUUGAGCCCAUAAUCUGGGCAGGCUGUAGGUGUGAGUUAGCUCCAUUUGGCUUCCGGUGGAGCUCAGAAGUCUGGGAGCUACAGUCAUUUGAAAGCACUCACUGUCGCCUGUGAGUGUUGCCUCGGACUGUCACUGAGACUGUCGACUGAGUGCUGUGUGCUUUCUAUAGCAGCCUUGCACGUCACAUAGCAUCCCGUGCAUUCUCCACCACUGAGCAGAGAAAGCAAAUGCUAUGACUCUGAGGAGAAAGGACACAGAGUUGAACACUGAUCAGUGAAGAAGACACUGUGAGCCCUGGUGAGCCAGACAUUUUACUUUAAAGGUAAGAUCAUUGUCACAACAUGCAGUGCUCUGUCGCCGGGCAGAAAUAAAACGUUAGGCAAAACAGUACUGACGUGGCAGACACACGGACUUAAGUGCUCUGGGACAAAAGAAGACAAUGCCUUUCUCUGGGUGCUGACUAAUCAAAUUCAGGCAUAUGUGCAGCCCAGAGUCCUGUAAAGAUAAUCGUUCCUUUGGACAACAGCUAUUAAAAGUGGGUUCUUUGUUCGGAACAGUGUUAGAGUUCCAUGCAGAAUUAUGGGUUGUCUGUUGUAAGAGAGGCCCAUUGGUCUUGCAAACUUUAUAUGCCUCAGUACAGGGGAACUCGAGGGCCAAGAAGUGGGAGUGGAUGGGUAGGGGAGUGGGGGAAGGGGAUGGGGGAGUUUUGGGAUAGCAUUGGAAAUGUAAAUGAAGAAAAUACCUAAUUAAAAAAAAAAAGAAAUUGUCUUGCUUAGAAAUUCCUCCAUCCUCCUGCUCUCUUCUUAAAACCUAAUCUAUAUUAGAGUUCACAGAAAAACUGGGUACCACACACCACAGAGAGGCACACGGGACAAUUAACACUUACCUCUCGGAACACUGGUGGUAAUUAAUAAGAAACCACUACAACGGGCUGUGUUUUUAUGUUUCCCACAAUCAGACGUGACUAAAGCUGGCUUCUUGUCUCCUUGUAUUCGUGGCUGUGGGGGGCACCUGGAACCACUGGCUGCUGGCCUCCACAUCUCCCUUCACAGGGAAAGCACUCCUGCAGCCAUUUGCCUAACAUUCCCGAGGGCCUCAGAUGUUUCUCAGACGCUGAUGACUCACUGCAUAGUAAGGUCAUCCCUGAAAACUCACGGAGAUAAAUUUCACUUUUCAGACCAAAAGUGUUUAUCCCGCCACUGACUCUGCCUUCUGACCCAUGUCAGGGUGGCUUCACAGAGGUGGCCAUUCACUUUGUCGGGUCACUUUUUCUUGAUUCUGCUCCACAGGCAUAAAAAUCACCCCACUGAUGGGAAAACUGCCCUUAUAGUGGCAGCGACCUCUGAGUAUCCCGAGUCCAGCGGUGUGUCUUUAAUCCCCUCUAACCCUGUCUGGGAGAGCUGCACAGGCCCACCAGUGUCUCCCAUUGGUCUUCUAAGCACCUUGAAUGUUUGCCUGUAAUUUCUGCAUGCUUUGAUGUUCUAGCCUAGCACGUCAGCAAAAAGAGAAAAAAUGAAAAAUCCCCAUAAAAGAUGGCUAAUUUAAUAGUAUCAUUUAUUUUUCUUUAAUUUGGAGCAAUUGCAACUGUGGGCCUCAACAGCAUUUCGAAUUGCAUACCAGAUGAGGCUCUUACUUAAACACAAAGAAAUGGACACACACAGACAGACACACCAUACUCAACAAAACAGAAAGAAAGACACAUACCCAUGUGCAUACAUAUAGACAGACAGUCACAAACACACACACAAAUGAAGCUAACAUCUCAGAGUAUUUGGUUUUCCCUACUUCCUUUAACACAAGGGCAGUAACUAUUCCCAAAUAAUGUUUCCUAUCUUAAAUAUUCUUUGCUCUUUCAUCCCUUAUUCCUUUGUUGUUCCAUGAAUAUACUUUUGAAGAAAUGGGCUUUGGGUUACUGAUAAUUUCAGAAUAAAUGUGUCCACUGAAUGCAAAGAUAUUCAAAGGUAAUAGAAAUGGACCCCACAACCUGGAUGCUCCUUUCUAAAAGAGCAUGUAUUAUUUCUAAGUUUAUUUUAUGGCCUAGGAAGCCUCAGGUCCAAAUUAAAACCUAGCUCCAUACAUUGUCAGAACUUGGGGAUUAAGCAUCGACACAUCUUGUAGUUGAAGCAGUGACCUGUCACCUGUAUGGCUGUCUUCAAAUACUCCUAAUGAUAUUUUGGAGGAAAAAAAAAAGUCCCUCAUUACCACAUGAGUUGGGAGAAAAAAAUGAACUCACAGAUCACCAGCAUCUCUGCUCCUCUCCCCAUGUCAUCCCUGUCCUGUUGGGAUGCGGUUCAGUUCCCAGGAGACUGGAAUGCCCCUGAAAAUUGACAGUCACAUUCUAUUAUAACAUAUUUUCCCCAUUUAAUAACAUGGCCUAGGUAAUGACUCAUAACCCUCAAAGGACCUCCUGCCACUGACAGCUGAACUCAAGUAAUUGAGAGCACCAUGCAAUUUGGCAGUGACUGCACCUUUAUGGUUGGAUCAAGCAUUAAAGCAACAGUAUAUCUGGAUAGGCUUUCAGUAAAGUGACAGCCUCGUGAUGCGUUUCUGAAUCCGUUUUACAUGUGUAACUCUGGUGUCCCCAGAUUGUGUAGCCUAGAAUAGGGCUAUGAGUGCUUACUCUAUUCCAUUGUAAAUCUAUUACAGAUAGGGACAUUUCCUCUUUCUCAUCUCUGUCAUUUCAGUGUCGGGAUUAUAGAAUGUAACCUUGGCAUAGAGUGUGCUCAGUCAUCAUUUUCUCUUCCUCUUCCUAUGUCGGUUGGGUAUACAGACUUUGACAGGAACCACCACCUAUCAACAUCAGGACAACCACAUUCUCUAACAGCCGUGUAAGCCCUGUGUGUAUUAACAUGACUUAUUUACUCAUGCAGCCUCAAUGUGUAUAGCUGCUUCCUUCCUACUCCCUGAUGGUUUCAGUUAGGACUUCUUGAGACAUUUCCACAAAUGUCCACAUCCAUCCUUCUCAUGAACACAGCUCAUAUAGCUAGAGUCGGCCUCACUUUUGACUUCUCACUGGCAUCCUCAGAGAAUCACAGCUUGUUCUGGGACUCUCAGAAGCCUGUACUCUAUCUCAAGAGCGUCCCUCCUCCUCACCAUUAUCAGCACUUCAGCAUACAAAUACAACCUGGUACUUUAGCCCCUUUUCAGCUUUAAGACAUGUCUCCUACAUCACUAGGACUGUGCAUGUGUGUGUUCAUGUUUGUGUUCAUGUGUGUGUGUUCAUGUUUGUGUUCAUGUGUGUGCGUUCAUGAGUGCUUCUAUUGAAGCAUGCGCACAUGCACACAGUGCAUGCAAAGUCUAGAGAUCCAUAUCCGAUGUCUUAUCAAUCAAACUCCAGUUUGUUUUCUGGCCCCACUAAUUCUGCUGCACUGGUUGGCCUGAGAUGCUCCAGUGAUCCUUGUGUCUCCCCUCCCCAGCUCUGGAUUACACAUAUUCUGCUAGCCCCAUAUGCUUACACAUGUACUGGGAUCAAGCUCAGGUCCUCACACUUGAGCAGCAAACACUUCAACAACUGAGUCACAUCCUUAUUGCCUCAAGGCUAA
rnacentral:lncRNA from 1 species